ACUCCUGCGGGAGGCAGCAGUGGGGAAUUUUGGACAAUGGGCGAAAGCCUGAUCCAGCCAUGCCGCGUGCAGGAUGAAGGCCUUCGGGUUGUAAACUGCUUUUGUACGGAACGAAACGGCCUUUUCUAAUAAAGAGGGCUAAUGACGGUACCGUAAGAAUAAGCACCGGCUAACUACGUGCCAGCAGCCGCGGUAAUACGUAGGGUGCAAGCGUUAAUCGGAAUUACUGGGCGUAAAGCGUGCGCAGGCGGUUAUGUAAGACAGUUGUGAAAUCCCCGGGCUCAACCUGGGAACUGCAUCUGUGACUGCAUAGCUAGAGUACGGUAGAGGGGGAUGGAAUUCCGCGUGUAGCAUUGAAAUGCGUAGAUAUGCGGAGGAACACCGAUGGCGAAGGCAAUCCCCUGGACCUGUACUGACGCUCAUGCACGAAAGCGUGGGGAGCAAACAGGAUUAGAAACCCGAGUAGUCCCAUGA
rnacentral:rRNA from 1 species